UCCCAGUGGGGUUUGGAUCAGCGUGUUCUGGAACAUUCUCAGUGGGUCAGGUCUGUGUCAAGAGUGUGGUGGAAACGAAAAGAGAGAAGGUGGAGAGAACAGUGGGGAGAUGGAGGAGCAAGAGUGAAGGUGAAUACCAGAGAGAGCAAGUGUGUGCAGACAAGCUCACGCGUUCUUCCAUCGAUCCUCAGCAUCGCUCCCAAAACAUUUUGCACUUCCCGAGGAACAAGCUGGAUCCAUUACCGCAGUUGUCCUGCCUGUGCCCGCAUAGCGCCUCUGCAACAAAAGGGAGCGAAUCCUCGGGGCUCGCAGCCAGGUCAGUCGUGGCAAACUGAUGUUACUGAAUUUGCAGCGUUUGGCCGACAAGAGUACAUUGGUGUGUCCAUGGACACCUGUUCAGCACCGUUGUGGCUACAGCUUUGACCUCAGCAAACGCAAAAGCAGGAAGGCGUCCUUGAUUACAAGCCUUUGCUGUCAUGGGAGUUCCUACCCAGAUCAAACAGAUAAUGGCCCCGCACACCAUUCUGACACUCCUGCAACCUUCCUCGUCCAGUGGAAGGUGCAACCCCUGUUCGGAGUCCCUUAGAACUCUACUGGCCAGGCAGUUAUGGGGCGUGCACACGCACCUUGAAAAGCCUUUUGCCCGUUCUGAACAAACAAGGGGAAUUGGUGUGGGUGCAGAAGAGGUUUUGAUGAAGGCAUCGUAUGUGCUGAACUGGCUUAAUCCUAAAAGUGAGACUGAAACGGAACCUGUUGUUAUGCACCAUAUCAACAAUGUCAAAGGUCUUUCCGAAGAAGUACCUAAGGUAACCAUAACAGCUGGUGGAUUCAGCGCAGUGGGUGAGGCCUUGGCUGGCCAGCAAAGAAGAGACCGAUUGCAGUGGUGAUGACCCUGACCCUCAGACGUGUUGUCGCUUUCAGCAGCGGAUGCAGCCGGUGUUGAUCUUUGCAGAACAGAGCAGCGAUUAGUGGUUUGUUAUCGGCCAUGGCCACGGUUGUGAAGUUUGAUGGGAUGUGUUGUUUGAACUUCAAAGACCAUUCAGAAUCUAUACAUAAAAAGAUAACAGAUUUGCAGAACAUGAAAAUAACAGAAGAUGUUGGUUUUUUGGGUUGGAUGCGUUGUUUGGUUAAAAGGAAUAUCGAAAACAGGUCUGUUCUUGUUAAGUGUAAUUGAAUUGGCUGUAAUAUUCUUACCCUGUAUUUCACACAGUCUUCAAAGCACAAUACGGCUUGUUGUGAACAUUCUCUUAAAUGAAAGAGGGGGAGAUGCAGUGGCAGAGCCCCCCGGGGGGAUGGGGUCGUCGCCAGCCCGGCCAGGAGGUGAAGCCGGAGACCAAAGAGACAAAAGGAAUCCUGUAAGAGGGUACCAGCCAAUGAGCAAUCGCCGACACGCGCGUGCAGAGCGCGUGGACAGUGCGUGCAGCCAAUCACGGUACUGGAUAGCGCGUGCUGUAACCAAUCACGUUGUUGCACGGCGUGUGGACAGGGCAGCUUUUGGCCCAAAGCCAGCGUGGUGGGGCGGUCAAGGUGAACUCUGUGAACAUCACUUGGUGUGUCCGGUUCCGUCUCUCGCAUGGCAGCGACAUUGAACGGCCGCAGUUUCCUGUGUUUUGGUGACCCAAACUCUCCAGUGCACAGGACGGUGAUCCUCUGUGCAGCAACAAGGCCUGUUAGCACAGUGCAAGUUGGGCUACGUUAAAGCAGUAGAGCAGCACUGGAUAAUGGGGGGAGGAUCAAUAAGUGUGUUAAUGACCUGGAUCACGGGAGGAACGUGUAUUGCAGUCCAAGAGUACGUGGACUUCCUAUUUUCUUUCAUUCUUUGAUGCUGUGUUUUUAUAGAAGACCUACAUGCUUGUAAAUGGGAUUUGCUAGAUUAUAGUAGCACACUGCAGAAAUGAGUCAUCUCUCUGCAGAAUCUUUCUGGGGCUUCUGCCUGUGAUCCUCUGAGACAGGCAGUUCUUCCCAAAUUAUUUACUUCUCCAAAGUAUUUAAUUCGUAGCCUUAUGUUGCAGAACAGGGAAGCUCCAUCCGGUGUGUCUGACCUGUGAUGCACUGAGCAUGCAUCGUGCUUAAUGCGCCAGAAGUUAUGUUCUGGAUUCAUUUUAAUGAGAGUAGAUGGUUGGAUGGGUUCUUAUCACACUAAACAAAUGCAUCUCACAACUUUGGAAACUCUCUCAUCUCUUUUGAUCAGCCAUCUCUAUUUGUUAAUGCUGAAACAACAGGAACUCUUGUUUAACCUGUUUUCCCACUCUCCAUUCUCUAAGCUGAGAGACUGCGCUGAGGCGCUGCUCACAGAGUUGUAUUGAAACAUCCAUAAACACCAGGGAGUUCAGAGCUUCUCAGCUGUGGAACACGGGUGAAUUGGGCUUCUACUGUUUGCUUCUUUGCAGAAGAACCCGCAGCACAAGCUGGAACACAAGCACAGUUCAC